AAAAAGCGGAGGAAAAGAAACCAUACCGGGAUUGCCUUAGUAACGGCGAGUGAAGCGGCAAAAGCUCAAAUUUGAAAUCUGGUACCUUCGGUGCCCGAGUUGUAAUUUGGAGAGGGCAACUUUGGGGCCGUUCCUUGUCUAUGUUCCUUGGAACAGGACGUCAUAGAGGGUGAGAAUCCCGUGUGGCGAGGAGUGCGGUUCUUUGUAAAGUGCCUUCGAAGAGUCGAGUUGUUUGGGAAUGCAGCUCUAAGUGGGUGGUAAAUUCCAUCUAAAGCUAAAUAUUGGCGAGAGACCGAUAGCGAACAAGUACAGUGAUGGAAAGAUGAAAAGAACUUUGAAAAGAGAGUGAAAAAGUACGUGAAAUUGUUGAAAGGGAAGGGCAUUUGAUCAGACAUGGUGUUUUGUGCCCUCUGCUCCUUGUGGGUAGGGGAAUCUCGCAUUUCACUGGGCCAGCAUCAGUUUUGGUGGCAGGAUAAAUCCAUAGGAAUGUAGCUUGCCUCGGUAAGUAUUAUAGCCUGUGGGAAUACUGCCAGCUGGGACUGAGGACUGCGACGUAAGUCAAGGAUGCUGGCAUAAUGGUUAUAUGCCGCCCGUCUUGAAAC
rnacentral:rRNA from 1 species